AUUUGGGAUCUGACUAAACUGACAAUUUUCUGUUGUCAUUGGUCGGCGGGAAAAUUGAAGAAAAGUAUUUAGAAAUUAGUCAAACGCCUUCUCUGAUAGCUCCGGAAUUCGCUCGACAGAUAUUUAAUUGUACUAAGGAAAAAUAAGCCAACGAGUGAUGUUUACCGCGAUGCUGCCAAUAGAAAGAGCAGAGCUUCGGGAAUGGCGAUAACCGUUUCGAAUGAUCUCAUGAUUCUGCAACCUUAACGUCAUCUAAACCAUCCACAAAGGCAGCCUCUAUACGGGAAGCAUCACCGUCACUAUCGUCUAGGCCAACUGGGUUCGAAAGAUUAGCACCGCUACAGCAGGAAACAGCAUAAUUGCGCCGCAAUUAGAUGCGCCAGCUCAUAUACAUAAUUGUAAGUCAUCUGAAGAUCGGCAGCCACCGCGUAUACGAGCUCGCCUACAUUGGCCCUGAUGCCGUCAUCGACCACCAAUUUUUCGUUACAUCUUCCUCCAGGGCAGAUCCAGCAGAUGCAGAAGAAAUGACAACUGUUGGCAGAACUCCAGGCCAUAUAAUGUUGACGCAUCAUCAAUCGAACAAUACAACCCUUUUAACUGAGGUGAAACUGUUUGUCUCUCUCCAUAACAUGCAGAAAAAGAACCAAAUAUUUGAGAUAAUGUAAAUCUAAAACACGAAAAUAAAUUAAAUCAGUAAAUAAACUACACAGAAAGAAAAA